CACCGAGGACUUCAUAUGGAUGUGUACUUCGGAGCAUCUCAAACAUGCACCACAAAGACGUGGAGGACACACCGCUGUCUCUCAGGACCUAGAAUCUUAAUGAAAGUAUAAUGAUGUUAAGGGAAGGUGUAAUGGAAAGGUGUAAUGGAAAGUUGUAAUGGUGUUAAGGGAAGGUGUAGUGGAAAGGUGUGAUAGUGUUGAGGGAAGGUGUAAUAGUGUUGAGGGAAUGUGUAAUAGUGUUGAGGGAAGGGGUAAUGUUAAAGGUGUAAUAGUGUUAAGGGAAGGUAUAAUAUUGUUAAGGGAAGGUGUAAUGUUAAAGGUGUAAUAGUGUUGAUGGAAGGUAUAAUGUAAAGGUGUAAUAGUUUAAAGGGAAGGUAUAAUAUUGUUAAGGGAAGGUGUAAUGUUAAAGGUGUAAUAGUGUUGAGGGAAGGUAUAAUAUUGUUAUGGGAAGGUGUAAUGUAAAGCUGUAAUAGUUUUAAGGGAAGGUAAAUGUUUAGUGAAAUUGUUAUGGUGUGAAUCUAAGGUGUAUGUUAUGUUGAUGUAAAAUAAAGGCAUUAACCCCAAA